rnacentral:rRNA from 1 species
UAGGGAAUCUUCGGCAAUGGGGGCAACCCUGACCGAGCAACGCCGCGUGAGUGAAGAAGGGUUUCGGCUCGUAAAGCUCUGUUGUUAAAGAAGAACACGUAUGAGAGUAACUGUUCAUACGUUGACGGUAUUUAACCAGAAAGUCACGGCUAACUACGUGCCAG